rnacentral:rRNA from 1 species
GCCUAAUACAUGCAAGUCGAGCGGACAGAUGGGAGCUUGCUCCCUGAUGUUAGCGGCGGACGGGUGAGUAACACGUGGGUAACCUGCCUGUAAGACUGGGAUAACUCCGGGAAACCGGGGCUAAUACCGGAUGCUUGAUUGAACCGCAUGGUUCAAUUAUAAAAGGUGGCUUUUAGCUACCACUUACAGAUGGACCCGCGGCGCAUUAGCUAGUUGGUGAGGUAACGGCUCACCAAGGCGACGAUGCGUAGCCGACCUGAGAGGGUGAUCGGCCACACUGGGACUGAGACACGGCCCAGACUCCUACGGGAGGCAGCAGUAGGGAAUCUUCCGCAAUGGACGAAAGUCUGACGGAGCAACGCCGCGUGAGUGAUGAAGGUUUUCGGAUCGUAAAACUCUGUUGUUAGGGAAGAACAAGUACCGUUCGAAUAGGGCGGUACCUUGACGGUACCUAACCAGAAAGCCACGGCUAACUACGUGCCAGCAGCCGCGGUAAUACGUAGGUGGCAAGCGUUGUCCGGAAUUAUUGGGCGUAAAGCGCGCGCAGGCGGUUUCUUAAGUCUGAUGUGAAAGCCCCCGGCUCAACCGGGGAGGGUCAUUGGAAACUGGGGAACUUGAGUGCAGAAGAGGAGAGUGGAAUUCCACGUGUAGCGGUGAAAUGCGUAGAGAUGUGGAGGAACACCAGUGGCGAAGGCGACUCUCUGGUCUGUAACUGACGCUGAGGCGCGAAAGCGUGGGGAGCGAACAGGAUUAGAUACCCUGGUAGUCCACGCCGUAAACGAUGAGUGCUAAGUGUUAGAGGGUUUCCGCCCUUUAGUGCUGCAGCAAACGCAUUAAGCACUCCGCCUGGGGAGUACGGUCGCAAGACUGAAACUCAAAGGAAUUGACGGGGGCCCGCACAAGCGGUGGAGCAUGUGGUUUAAUUCAAAGCAACGCGAAGAACCUUACCAGGUCUUGACAUCCUCUGACAACCCUAGAGAUAGGGCUUCCCCUUCGGGGGCAGAUUGACAGGUGGUGCAUGUUUGUCGUCAGCUCGUGUCCUGAAAUGUUGGGUUAAGUCCCCCAACGAGCGCAACCCUUGAUCUUAGUUGCCAGCAUUCAUUUGGGCCCCUAAGGUAACUCCCGUGAAAAAACCGAAAAAGGGGGGA